GUCAUGAAAAAAAACGAUCUUAUUGAAGUCUAUUUCCAAACGCGUUCGUGAAUACGAAUCCUGAGUCUGUCUUUUAUUUUUUAUCUAAUUGACUGAUAUAUCCCGACAUUUGAAGUUGGCAUGAUUUGCACGCAACUGCAACAGUUUAGCCAUAAGGACUGACGUCUGCACAGGCGUUGACGAUGACGUAAAGUUGUGGUAUAACGUUGACGCGAGAUGUAACGGUCGAGACGUUUGGAGCGUAAUACAAGGAAGCCAAAGGGGUUUAUAUACCACACACCAAGUGUGUUCAAGUCACUUCACAGUCAAGUCUUCACCAUGAAAUCCAUCAUCCUCGUCGCCCUCGCUUUCGCCGCUGUGCUGGCCAUGGCCGCCGCCCAGUUCGGAUACGGCGGAUAUGGCGUCGGGGAAAGCGAUUCCUUUGGAAAUGGAGGAUUGCUGAUGAUGAUCGGUCUCCUCUUCUUGCUAACAGUCCUGUUCAACAACAGAACCACAACCACUUCCGGUGGAAUCACCAUCGUCAACGCUUCUGCUUCCGGCAAAUAAACACAUAUUAAAGUCAACACCCUGAAUUUGAAAAGUCCUGCGUCACCAUCUCACCAUGGAGCCGGUAUCAUGUGCCAUGCUCGUGUAUUUCCGUUUGAAGUCGGCUAUUGUCGGAUAUCAAUCAUAGCUUUAGUCGUCUAAUGCGUCUCAGCUAAGAAAUGUGAAUUUCUUAGGUUGCGGCUAAUUCAUUAAUUUAUUUGUUGAUGUUAUUGUUAUUGUUAAAAUAAAGAUAAAGGAAUUUCCA